ensembl:lncRNA
GUGUGUGUGUGUGUGUGUGUGCGUGUGUGAUUGCCUUGCCUGAUUGCCCCAGGGGGCUAAUAGCGAGGGUAAAUUAUGCCUCUCUGCUAAACAGUAGGGCAGGAAAGAGUACAUGUGGUCCUCCAUUUUACAACGAAAACAGCAAUAAUUGCCUGCGUCUGAAAUGACUAAAAGCACAUGCGGCCAUUUCCUGUUCAUGUCCCAUUUUUUUUUCUUUUUAAAUAAAAAAAUAAAAACUCUCCACUUAUUUCUUUUAUUUCUGCCAUUUGCUGAUCUCUUCAAAAUAGCACCACAGUCAGUAGUGGAAAAUCUUGAACUGGAAAUUACCUCCACUAAUUGUAUGAAGAGCUCAGGGAGGAACGUGGAGAAGCUGGUUUCAUACGCAGAGCUGCUUCUGAACCAAUAAGGAAUGUAAGGAUUUAUCAAACACCACUGAACACCAGCAUUCUCCAUUAAACACCACCGUUCUGCAUUAAACACCACCAUUCUGCAUUAAAUACCACCUUUCUACCUCACACCUUUAAGCUUUUGAUUUAUACAUCCGACACCAACAUCCCCUUUAGAAGCGAAGAGUGUGAGCCUCGAGCAUCAACCUUCACACGAUCAUCAACCUUCAGUUCAUCAAACACCAACAUUCAUCCAUCCAUCAAAUAAUAUUAAACACCCGUAGAUGAGAUCAUUAAAUGCCCAACAAACACCAACAUUGUCCACACUUUCUCGAGCAAACCACAACCGUCUCCAUCAAUGACCAACCUCCUUAAUCAAACCACAGUCUCCACAACUAAACACCAGCAAUCUCCAACAAACCAUGUGUGGGUUCAGUCUUUCAAACUUUUAUGUGUUUGUUGUGAUGUUUCCAAAAUGUUGUCCUUUGUUCAUAAUUGUGCAUAUCGUUCAUCAGAAAAGACCACAUGAUAUAAAUUUGUGUAUGUUUGGUGUUUGUUUUUGCAUUUUAAACAAUUGCGGUAGUUUUUUUGUUUUUAGACUUUUGUUGUUUGAUGCAUUUUGGAGAAUUUUGUUGAUUUACCUCGUAGGGAAUGUUCGUGUUUCUGGCUGCAUUUCAGUGAUUUUAGUGAAUACUGGAAUACUCCAUCAGUCUGGAUGGAGAGAUGUGGUGUUCAGGAUGGAGAGAUGUGGUGUUUAGGGUGGAGAGAUGUGGUGUUCAGGAUGGAGAGAUUGGUGUUCAGGGUGGGGAGAUGUGGUGUUCAGGGUGGAGAGAUGUGGUGUUCAGGGUGGAGAGAUGUGGUGUUCAGGGUGGAGAGAUGUGGUGUUCAGGAUGAUCAGAUGUGGUAGAUGUGGUGUUCAGGAUGGAGAGAUGUGGUGUUCAGGAUGAUCAAAUGUGGUGUUCAGGGUGGAGAGAAGUGGUGUUCAGGAUGAUCAGAUGUGGUGUUUAGGGUGGAGAGAUGUGGUGUUUAGGAUGGAGAGAUGUGGUGUUCAGGGUGGGGAGAUGUGGAGUUCAGGGUGGGGAGAUGUGGUGUUCAGGGUGGAGAGAUGUGGUGUUCAGGAUGGAGAGAUGUGGUGUUCAGGAUGAUCAAAUGUGGUGUUCAGGGUGGAGAGAAGUGGUGUUCAGGAUGAUCAGAUGUGGUGUUCAGGGAUGAGAGAAGUGGUGUUCAGGAUGAUCAGAUGUGGUGUUCAGGGUGGAGAGAUGUGGUGUUCAGGGUGGGGAGAUGUGGUGUUCAGGAUGAGAGAUGUGGUGUUCAGGAUGAUCAGAUGUGGUGUUCAGGGUGGAGAGAUGUGGUGUUCAGGAUGGAGAGAUGUGGUGUUCAGGGUGGGGAGAUGUGGUGUUCAGGAUGAGAGAUGUGGUGUUCAGGAUGAUCAGAUGUGGUGUUCAGGGUGGAGAGAUGUGGAGUUCAGGAUGGAGAGAUGUGGUGUUCAGGAUGGAGAGAUGUGGUGUUUUUAGUGAAUGGUGGUGUUUGCUGGUGCAUGUACAAGAAUUGUGGUGUUUAUUUAUUUGUUUGGUUUUUAAGCGAAUGUUGUUGUUGGUACAUUUUGGAGAAUGUUUUUAGAGAAAGUCGGUGUUUGUUGGUACAUUUUGGAGAUUUUUUUAGAGAAUGCUGGUGGGUAUUUGGGUUUUAGAGAGCAGAAAACAGGAGGUCUUUGUAGAAAGAGCAAGAAUGGAGGCAAGGCCACCUCUGAGCAGUGUGUGUGUGUGUGUGUGUGUGUGUGUGUGUGUGUGUGUGUGUGUGUGUGUGUAUGCAGGAGGGUAAAAGUCGCUUUGAGCAGGAGAUUAUUGGUGCGCCACAAUUUACAAGAGAUGUGCCGUCAUUAGUUGUGUAGAACCAAACCACUGGGUAAAUCUGCCAUGAAAUACAAGACUGGAGCUGUAAAACCAGAGCAUGUGCAUCAAACUCGAACCAGAUGAGGAACACUGAAGGACACUGUGUGUGUAUGUGUGUGUGUGUGUGUGUGUCUGUCUGUCUGUGAAAGUGAAAAGCAAGAACAAGAAUGAGAGAGGGUUGCGUGUAAUUACAGCAUAAGUGUAUGUGUAUAAGUGUGUGUG